CGAACUCUGGUAUUGAUUGGUGCUUGCAUCAUGAUUUACAUUUGAGUGAGUGGCGAACUGGUGAGUAACACGUGGGAAACCUGCCCAGAAGCGGGGGAUAACACCUGGAAACAGAUGCUAAUACCGCAUAACAACUUGGACCGCAUGGUCCGAGUUUGAAAGAUGGCUUCGGCUAUCACUUUUGGAUGGUCCCGCGGCGUAUUAGCUAGAUGGUGGGGUAACGGCUCACCAUGGCAAUGAUACGUAGCCGACCUGAGAGGGUAAUCGGCCACAUUGGGACUGAGACACGGCCCAAACUCCUACGGGAGGCAGCAGUAGGGAAUCUUCCACAAUGGACGAAAGUCUGAUGGAGCAACGCCGCGUGAGUGAAGAAGGGUUUCGGCUCGUAAAACUCUGUUGUUAAAGAAGAACAUAUCUGAGAGUAACUGUUCAGGUAUUGACGGUAUUUAACCAGAAAGCCACGGCUAACUACGUGCCAGCAGCCGCGGUAAUACGUAGGUGGCAAGCGUUGUCCGGAUUUAUUGGGCGUAAAGCGAGCGCAGGCGGUUUUUUAAGUCUGAUGUGAAAGCCUUCGGCUCAACCGAAGAAGUGCAUCGGAAACUGGGAAACUUGAGUGCAGAAGAGGACAGUGGAACUCCAUGUGUAGCGGUGAAAUGCGUAGAUAUAUGGAAGAACACCAGUGGCGAAGGCGGCUGUCUGGUCUGUAACUGACGCUGAGGCUCGAAAGUAUGGGUAGCAAACAGGAUUAGAUACCCUGGUAGUCCAUACCGUAAACGAUGAAUGCUAAGUGUUGGAGGGUUUCCGCCCUUCAGUGCUGCAGCUAACGCAUUAAGCAUUCCGCCUGGGGAGUACGGCCGCAAGGCUGAAACUCAAAGGAAUUGACGGGGGCCCGCACAAGCGGUGGAGCAUGUGGUUUAAUUCGAAGCUACGCGAAGAACCUUACCAGGUCUUGACAUACUAUGCAAAUCUAAGAGAUUAGACGUUCCCUUCGGGGACAUGGAUACAGGUGGUGCAUGGUUGUCGUCAGCUCGUGUCGUGAGAUGUUGGGUUAAGUCCCGCAACGAGCGCAACCCUUAUUAUCAGUUGCCAGCAUUAAGUUGGGCACUCUGGUGAGACUGCCGGUGACAAACCGGAGGAAGGUGGGGAUGACGUCAAAUCAUCAUGCCCCUUAUGACCUGGGCUACACACGUGCUACAAUGGAUGGUACAACGAGUUGCGAACUCGCGAGAGUAAGCUAAUCUCUUAAAGCCAUUCUCAGUUCGGAUUGUAGGCUGCAACUCGCCUACAUGAAGUCGGAAUCGCUAGUAAUCGCGGAUCAGCAUGCCGCGGUGAAUACGUUCCCGGGCCUUGUACACACCGCCCGUCACACCAUGAGAGUUUGUAACACCCAAAGUCGGUGGGGUAACCUUUUAGGAACCAGCCGCCUAAGGUGGGACAGAUGAUUA
rnacentral:rRNA from 2 species